GGAGGAGGCGGAGAAUGCGAAUGAGUACGAUCAACCAUGUUGGCUAAGGGUUGCCCAUCAGUCUCGCAGAAAAUCCUAUAACUGAAAACUUACGUUGUACAUGAAGUGGAGAGAAUCCUGCUGAAUUGAAGCCAGCAGAUAAAUGGGAGAGGAGAGAGGUAGAUGCACUUGAGCAGAGAAGAGAAAGAACUACAGGAAACUCUACUUUUGAGUGGAGAACAUAAGAAGGGGUCAGCCAAGCUAAAUUUUGCAUUGUUGCUUCAUGGUCCAUGUGAAAGUAAGAAGAGGACAAGAACCAUUGUUUUUGCAAAACUAGAAGUUUAAAAAAUCCAAAAAAAAAAAGCACAGAUGCUUAUCUUUACAAUCCUAUGCAGACAUGAAAUCCUAUAGAGUUCAAAGGAAUUAUUUAGGGGUGAAAUGCUCCUGGUUCGGACCGGAUCACCUGAUCAGCGUAUCCUUCCUUCCUGAAGCCGUCUGCAGACAGAAAGAUGCUUUGCAAUUCUUUGGUGAUCGGCCGCAAUGAAACUUGAGAAGCAUAUGGGAUACUUAUUGGAAGAUGAGGAGGUUGCCUUUCUUUCAUUUCCGCUGUUAUAGCAAAAGGGUCUGAAGGAUUCCGUUUAUGCUAUAACCGAUUACCAGUGCCAAAUAUCGGAGGCACAAAAACAGAACCUUUAAGCAAAUCUCUUAGAAAUGUAUUUACUGAAACAACGUUAAAGUAUAGGCAUCAAAAAUAUUUUGCCGUUUGUUUUGAAGCCCACUGCAAGCCAAGUAGAUAAGCUGCACUUGGAAUGCAAACUAACAUUUUUCAGAUAGCACAAAUUAAAAAUAAAAAUGUCUGUUGCUAGUGUAAUUUCAGUAUAACGCUAAUAUCACAACACAGUUGCUAGUUAAAUCGCAAAUUAAAUGUACAAUCAUGAUAGAAAUGAAUGAAACAAGUAAUUUUUGAAUAAUCAGUAAACAUCAGCCCCUUUCUACCACGAUCAAAUUUUAAUAAACAUACAGUACAAAUA